AGUGAACGCUGGCGGCGUGCCUAAUACAUGCAAGUCGAACGAAGUGGCGCACGGGUGAGUAAUAUAUAGUUAAUCUGCCCUACACAGAGGAACAACAGUUGGAAACGACUGCUAAUACCUCAUAGUGUAGGAUGAGACUAUAUCGUAUCAGCUAGUUGGUAAGGUAAUGGCUUACCAAGGCUAUGACGCGUAACUGGUCUGAGAGGAGGAUCAGUCACAUUGGAACGCAAACACGGUCCAAACCCCUACGUGAGGCAGCAGUAAGGAAUAUUGCGGAAAGGGGGAAACCCGGACGCAGCAACGCCGGGUGGACAAUGACACUUGUCGGAGCGUAAACUCCUUUAUCAAGAAAGCGGUACCUGUUGAAUAAGCACCGGCUAACUCCGUGCCAGCAGCCGCGGUAAUAC
rnacentral:rRNA from 1 species